rnacentral:rRNA from 1 species
AAAAAAGGUAAGCUACUAAGAGCGAAUGGUGGAUGCCUUGACUGGUAAAGGCGAUGAAGGACGUACUAGACUGCGAUAAGCUACGGGGAGCUGUCAAGAAGCUUUGAUCCGUAGAUUUCCGAAUGGGGCAACCCAAUGUAUAGAGAUAUACAUUACCUAUAUAGGAGCGAACGAGGGGAAUUGAAACAUCUUAGUACCCUCAGGAAAAGAAAUCAAUAGAGAUUGCGUCAGUAGCGGCGAGCGAAAGCGCAAGAGGGCAAACCCAGUGCUUGCACUGGGGGUUGUAGGACUGCAAUGUGCAAGAGCUGAGUUUAGCAGAACAUUCUGGAAAGUAUAGCCAUAGAGGGUGAUAGUCCCGUAUGCGAAAAACAAAGCUUAGCUAGCAGUAUCCUGAGUAGGGCGGGACACGAGGAAUCCUGUCUGAAUCUGGGUCGACCACGAUCCAACCCUAAAUACUAAUACCAGAUCGAUAGUGCACAAGUACCGUGAGGGAAAGGUGAAAAGAACUGAGGUGAUCAGAGUGAAAUAGAACCUGAAACCAUUUGCUUACAAUCAUUCAGAGCACUAUGUAGCAAUACAGUGUGAUGGACUGCCUUUUGCAUAAUGAGCCUGCGAGUUGUGGUGUCUGGCAAGGUUAAGCAAACGCGAAGCCGUAGCGAAAGCGAGUCUGAAUAGGGCGCUUAGUCAGAUGCUGCAGACCCGAAACGAAGUGAUCUAUCCAUGAGCAAGUUGAAGCUAGUGUAAGAACUAGUGGAGGACUGAACCCAUAGGCGUUGAAAAGCCCCGGGAUGACUUGUGGAUAGGGGUGAAAGGCCAAUCAAACUUCGUGAUAGCUGGUUCUCUCCGAAAUAUAUUUAGGUAUAGCGUUGUGUCGUAAUAUAAGGGGGUAGAGCACUGAAUGGGCUAGGGCAUACACCAAUGUACCAAACCCUAUCAAACUCCGAAUACCUUAUAUGUAAUCACAGCAGUCAGGCGGCGAGUGAUAAAAUCCGUCGUCAAGAGGGAAACAACCCAGACUACCAGCUAAGGUCCCUAAAUCUUACUUAAGUGGAAAACGAUGUGAAGUUACUUAAACAACCAGGAGGUUGGCUUAGAAGCAGCCAUCCUUUAAAGAAAGCGUAAUAGCUCACUGGUCUAGUGAUUUUGCGCGGAAAAUAUAACGGGGCUAAAGUAAGUACCGAAGCUGUAGACUUGCACACAACUUAGAUUAUUUAAGUUUAGAAUAAGUAGUUUAAGUUGUGUGCAAGUGGUAGGAGAGCGUUCUAUUUGCGUCGAAGGUAUACCGGUAAGGAGUGCUGGAGCGAAUAGAAGUGAGCAUGCAGGCAUGAGUAGCGAUAAUUAAUGUGAGAAUCAUUAACGCCGUAAACCCAAGGUUUCCUACGCGAUGCUCGUCAUCGUAGGGUUAGUCGGGUCCUAAGUCGAGUCCGAAAGGGGUAGACGAUGGCAAAUUGGUUAAUAUUCCAAUACCAACAUUAGUGUGCGAUGGAAGGACGCUUAGGGCUAAGGGGGCUAGCGGAUGGAAGUGCUAGUCUAAGGUCGUAGGAGGUUAUACAGGCAAAUCCGUAUAACAAUACUCCGAGAACUGAAAGGCUUUUUGAAGUCUUCGGAUGGAUAGAAGAACCCCUGAUGCCGUCGAGCCAAGAAAAGUUUCUAAGUUUAGCUAAUGUUGCCCGUACCGUAAACCGACACAGGUGGGUGGGAUGAGUAUUCUAAGGCGCGUGGAAGAACUCUCUUUAAGGAACUCUGCAAAAUAGCACCGUAUCUUCGGUAUAAGGUGUGGUUAGCUUCGUACUAGGAUUUACUCCGAAAGCGAAGAAACUUACAACAAAGAGUCCCUCCCGACUGUUUACCAAAAACACAGCACUCUGCUAACUCGUAAGAGGAUG